CUCCGCCCCAUGCAGUCCUGAAUGACGUUUCUGCCUGGCUCCUCCGCUCCACACACAAUAUUCCACCACCUAACGUAACGUACUUAGUUUCCACCAUCUAGGUCCUUCAUUUUAGUUCAAACAACUGCUCAACUACUUCUCAGCAACUACUUUUACUGGAUAGAGUGAAACUUUCAGGCAGCUCAGUGCCUUCGUGACAUUAAGAGGAUUUGCAGGAAGGAGUUUUCGAUACUUGAUGCUUGGAUCUGUUUUAUGGCUCCUUACCUCGUUGCAAUAGCAGUAAGGUGAAUGAUGGAAAUUGUGAGACUGAUAAAGAAGAAAGAGAUGCCCUGUAAACUGAAGUUUGAUCAUCGGAAAAGACAGAAUAAAAUGAGAAGAGAGAUGGAAAACAGACAGGAGUCACAAACCAAAGAAUCAAGAGACAUAAACGCAGUGAAACCCGUUCGAUGGAACAGCAUGGAGCAUUUAAAACCAGACUUCUCUUGUGAUCCACGCUGACCUUUAGAAUGUCAUUCUGAUGUUCUAGAGAGGAUUCAGGAUGAGGCGAAUUUGUUAUGAUUGUACUUUUAAUGAUAUACUCUUUUCUUUGGCCAAGUUGUGAAUAUUUUGUAAUACAUGGGUUUUGAGGACAUUUAACUCCAGUAUGUGACACAAGUCUCUGUCAUUAGCUGGAGCAGCAAUUUCAACUCUUGUGAUUUUUUUUCUUUCUUCACACCGUUAUCUGCAUUUAAUUGUCCAAUAUCCUUACAAGAUAUUUAAAAAAAAGUUACACUUGGGUCAAAAAGGUUUUUUGCAUAUAGCCUUGUAACCUGAAGAUUGCAUGUUUUUCCAUUUAUGGGGUUUCAUCGCUGUUUGUGAGAUUAGUCUCAACUGAGUUUCUGCAAUGUAAAUAUAAA